GGCACAUGAUUGGGUGUGUUGAUUACAUGCAUUAUUUGUGGGCAUUACACAGCCCAUGUGAACAUAAUUAAAGGGAUUUGCCAUGAUACUUUUAGAGAUUUAGUUGGGCUGAAUCAUUGACCAAGUGAGUCAAUCAUCAGAGAGGUGCCGAGGUAGGGUCUCAAUAUAGGCCCAACAUCAAGUAGAUGUAUACAUGAUUAUCAACAUCGAGUUCAGUCUGUGUCCGAUCUUACCGUUGGUCUAGUCCCGAUGUUAGGAGGAU
rnacentral:lncRNA from 1 species